GACGAACGCUGGCGGCGUGCUUAACACAUGCAAGUCGAGCGGUAAGGCCCUUUCGGGGGUACACGAGCGGCGAACGGGUGAGUAACACGUGGGUGACCUGCCUCUAGCUCUGGGAUAAGCCUGGGAAGCUGGGUCUAAUACCGGAUAUGACCUCGCGGUGCAUGUUGCGGGGUGGAAAGCCUUGUGCGGCUAGGGGAUGGGCCCGCGGCCUAUCAGCUUGUUGGUGGGGUGANGGCCCUACCAAGGCGACGACGGGUAGCCGGCCUGAGAGGGCGACCGGCCACACUGGGACUGAGACACGGCCCAGACUCCUACGGGAGGCAGCAGUGGGGAAUCUUGCGCAAUGGGCGAAAGCCUGACGCAGCGACGCCGCGUGAGGGAUGACGGCCU
rnacentral:rRNA from 1 species